rnacentral:rRNA from 1 species
GACGAACGCUGGCGGCGUGCUUAACACAUGCAAGUCGAACGGAAAGGCCCUGCUUUUGUUGGGUGCUCGAGUGGCGAACGGGUGAGUAACACGUGAGUAACCUGCCCUUGACUUUGGGAUAACUUCAGGAAACUGGGGCUAAUACCGGAUAGGAGCUCCUGCUGCAUGGUGGGGGUUGGAAAGUGUCGGCGGUUGGGGAUGGACUCGCGGCUUAUCAGCUUGUUGGUGGGGUAGUGGCUUACCAAGGCUUUGACGGGUAGCCGGCCUGAGAGGGUGACCGGCCACAUUGGGACUGAGAGACGGCCCAGACUCCUACGGGAGGCAGCAGUGGGGAAUAUUGCACAAUGGGCGGAAGCCUGAUGCAGCAACGCCGCGUGCGGGAUGACGGCCUUCGGGUUGUAAACCGAUUUCGCCUGUGACGAAGCGUGAGUGACGGUAAUGGGUAAAGAAGCAACGGCUAACUACGUG